GAUGAACGCUAGCAGCAGGCCUAAUACAUGCAAGUCGAACGGUGUCUUCGGACAUAGUGGCGCACGGGUGCGUAACACGUAUGCAACCUACCUUACAUUGGGGGAUAGCCUUUCGAAAGGGAGAUUAAUACCGCAUAAGACAGUAGCUGGGCAUCCAGCAGCUGUUAAAGAUUUAUCGAUGUAAGCUGGGCAUGCGUCCAAUUAGCUAGUUGGUGAGGUAACGGCUCACCAAGGCAAUGAUUGGUAGGGGAACUGAGAGGUCAAUCCCCCACACUGGCACUGAGAUACGGGCCAGACUCCUACGGGAGGCAGCAGUAGGGAAUAUUGGGCAAUGGACGCAAGUCUGACCCAGCCAUGCCGCGUGCAGGAUGAAGGCGUUAUGCGUUGUAAACUGCUUUUAUACAGGAAGAAACGACUCUUGCGAGAGGCAUCGACGGUACUGUAUGAAUAAGCACCGGCUAACUCCGUGCCAGCCGCCGCAGUAACAC
rnacentral:rRNA from 1 species